rnacentral:rRNA from 1 species
GACGAACGCUGGCGGCGUGCUUAACACAUGCAAGUCGUACGGUAAGGCCCUUUCGGGGGUACACGAGUGGCGAACGGGUGAGUAACACGUGAGUAACCUGCCCACAACUUUGGGAUAACGCUAGGAAACUGGUGCUAAUACUGGAUAUGUGCUCCUGCUGCAUAGUGGGGGUUGGAAAGCUCCGGCGGUUGUGGAUGGACUCGCGGCCUAUCAGCUUGUUGGUGGGGUAGUGGCCUACCAAGGCGGCGACGGGUAGCCGGCCUGAGAGGGUGACCGGCCACAUUGGGACUGAGAUACGGCCCAGACUCCUACGGGAGGCAGCAGUGGGGAAUAUUGCACAAUGGGCGCAAGCCUGAUGCAGCAACGCCGCGUGCGGGAUGACGGCCUUCGGGUUGUAAACCGCUUUCAGCAGGGACGAAGCUUUUUGUGACGGUACCUGCAGAAGAAGCACCGGCUAACUACGUG